UAGUUCAGUGGUAGAACACUUGCCUUGCAUGCAUGAGACACUGAAUUAUAUUUUCAG
rnacentral:tRNA from 1 species